rnacentral:rRNA from 1 species
UACGGAGGGUGCGAGCGUUGUCCGGAAUCACUGGGCGUAAAGGGCGCGUAGGCGGCGCGAGUAGUCAACGGUGAAAGCCCGGGGCUCAACCCCGGGUCGGCCGUCGAUACUCUCGUGCUUGAGCACUGUAGGGGCAGGUGGAAUUCCGGGUGUAGCGGUGGAAUGCGUAGAGAUCCGGAAGAACACCGGUGGCGAAGGCGGCCUGCUGGGCAGUAGCUGACGCUGAGGCGCGACAGCGUGGGGAGCAAACAGG